rnacentral:rRNA from 1 species
UGCUUGUUGUUUUUUAUAAUAAGUAUUUUYUGCCCAAUGCUUUGUAAAUGGCCGCGGUAUUYUGACCGUGCAAAGGUAGCAUAAUCAUUUGCCCUUUAAUUGGGGGCUGGAAUGAAAGAAAUUUUGAGGUUUUAGCUGUCUCUUUUUAUAUUUAUUAGAAUUUUCUGUUUUUGUGAAGAAGCAAGAAUUUUUUAAAAAGACAAGAAGACCCUUUAAGCUUUACUUUUUAUUUUUUUAAUUUUUUUUUUUAAUAUUCUUUUGGAGAAAUUUAAGUUUGGUUGGGGUGACCAAAGAAGAGUAGAUCUUCUUUUUUUAUUUGCUUUUGGCUUAAUUUUGAGCCGGAAAUUCCGCUUGAGAGAAUAAGUUACUAAAGGGAUAACAGCGUAAUUUUUUCAGAGAGUUCUUAUUGAAGAAAAAGAUUGCGACCUCGAUGUUGACUUGUUUUUUCCUUUAAAGGUGUAGCAGCUAAAAGGGUUGGUCUGUUCGACCAUUAAAAUGAC